UACGAAGGGGGCGAGCGUUGUUCGGAUUUACUGGGCGGAAAGGGCGCGCAGGCGGCGAUCUUUGUCAGGCGUGAAAGCCCCGGGCUUAACCUGGGAACUGCGCUUGGGACGGGAUUGCUGGAGACCGGGAGAGGAGAGUGGAAUUCCCAGUGUAGAGGUGAAAUUCGUAGAUAUUGGGAAGAACACCCGUGGCGAAGGCGGCUCUCUGGUACGUGACUGACGCUGAGACGCGAAAGCGUGGGGAGCGAACAGG
rnacentral:rRNA from 1 species